rnacentral:rRNA from 1 species
GCGCGAAAACUUUACAAUGCGGGGAACCGUGAUAAGGGGACAUCGAGUGCCAGCUUCCAAUGUUGGCUGUCCAGAUGUGUAAAAUACAUCUGUUAGCAAGGGCCGGGCAAGACCGGUGCCAGCCGCCGCGGUAACACCGGCGGCCCGAGUGGUGAUCGUUAUUAUUGGGUCUAAAGGGUCCGUAGCCGGUUUGGUCAGUCUNUUGGGAAAUCUGACGGCUCAACCGUCAGGCUUUCAGGGGAUACUGCCAGACUUGGAACCGGGAGAGGUGAGAGGUACUUCAGGGGUAGGGGUGAAAUCNNNUANUCCCNNNUGGGACCACCUGUGGCGAAGGNNUCUCNACCAGAACG